rnacentral:lncRNA from 1 species
CACAACAACAAACUCUUUGCUCCUGUCGCCUUAGCUUCUGGCCCUGAUGGCAGUGUGUAUGUUGGCGACUUCAAUUUUGUAAGGAGAAUAUUUCCCUCGGGAAACUCCGUUAGUAUUUUGGAAUUAAGAAACAGAGAUACCAGACAUAGCACAAGUCCUGCUCACAAAUACUAUCUGGCUAUGGACCCUGUGUCUGAAUCACUCUAUCUAUCAGACACCAAUACUCGCAAAGUCUACAAGUUGAAAUCUCUUGUGGAGACGAAAGAUCUGUCCAAGAAUUUUGAAGUGGUGGCAGGAACUGGUGAUCAGUGCCUUCCCUUUGACCAGAGUCAUUGUGGAGAUGGUGGGAGAGCAUCGGAAGCUUCACUGAAUAGCCCUCGAGGCAUCACAGUUGAUAGGCAUGGAUUUAUUUACU